rnacentral:rRNA from 1 species
CCUACGGGUGGCAGCAGUGGGGAAUAUUGCACAAUGGGGGAAACCCUGAUGCAGCGACGCCGCGUGAGUGAAGAAGUAUCUCGGUACGUAAAGCUCUAUCAGCAGGGAAGAAAAUGACGGUCCCUGACUAAGAAGCCCCGGCUAACUUCGUGCCAGCAGCCGCGGUAAUACGUAGGGGGCAAGCGUUAUCCGGAUUUACUGGGGGUAGAGGGAGCGUAGACGGCAGCACAAGUCUGGAGUGAAAUCCCGGGGCUUAACCCCGGAACUGCGUUGGAAAAUGUGCGGCUGGAGUGCAGGAGGGGUGAGCGGAAUGCCUGGUGUAGCGGUGAAAUGCGUAGAUAUUAGGAAGAACACCGGUGGCGAAGGCGGCUUACUGGACUGUAACUGACGUUGAGGCUCGAAAGCGUGGGUAGCAAACAGGAUUAGAUACCCGGGUAGUC